rnacentral:miRNA from 1 species
UGCCGGGGCAACUAAAACUCUG